AGGGUGGGGCCAGGGCAGUGGCUACCUGGGCCUCUGCACCUGCUCCCCGCCGUCAGCGGGCCCGAGUCUGAUCCAAAGGAGGCAGAUGGCCGGCCAUGCUAUUCUGGGGAUCUCCAGGCAACAGAGUAAACACUGUCCCCUUCUUCCACCCCGGGCACUGUGUCUAAGAGGACCGCCCACCCUCUUCCAAAUGUUGUUCAUAAACUCUUUUCCUGUUACCCACCAGGCUCCCCCAUUUUCUUGAUGCCUCCUCCCACUGCCGCCCCCUCCCCCUGACAUAUCUACCACAGCAUAACUUCCUUCCCUUGCAACCAGCCACGUCAACAGCAGUCACUCUCGGCGUCUCGUACUCUCACGGUCAGUGCACCUAGGUGCCGGGCAUAGGAAGGCGGCACCCCGUACACUGGAGAGAAAUUUAAUGAGCACCUAAUGCGGCGAGACUGCCUGCUGGGAGGGGCCUGAGGAAGGUGCUCCUCCCCAUGCCUGGAGGGGCAGUCUGAAGGAUGCGUUACCAGUCUGUUUCCAGUGGGGAGACAGAACAGAAAGCCACCAACUCCUGCUGGCUGGGACAUCUUAGUCAGUGAGUCUACAGUUCCCGAUGCCACUGGUCCUCCUCCAUCUGCUUCGGCACGAGCUCCCUGCCUCUCUUCUCUGGCUGCUCAGCCUGCCCUCAGCCACGACACCAUGGUGCCCAGCCCCAGAAUAAACCCGUUUUCCCCUCCUUUAUAUCCCCGCCCUACCCGCCCUCGCAAGGCCUGCCUGCCCUCACCAUCUUGCCCAUGCCCUGUCCUGUCUGUACCCUCCACCUCUUCCGUGACCCUGACGGCUUUCUGCUGCACUCCGAGAGCAAGCUGAACCCAGUCCGUGACUUCAAAGCCCACACCGAGAGUGCCUCGGCUUCCCUGUCCCUGCCACAACCUGCCCUCCCUUGACGCCUGUCAGAGGAACCGUGGCAGCAUAAAGAUCACGUGGCUGGUGCAGGAGCCCCGCCACAGCACCCCUGGUUCUCUUCUGCCCUCUGCAGCCAUACUACGAAAGUCUAGUUCAUCUUCCACAGCUUGGAGACUAAGCAUGUGAACGUUGAAACCAGACGAUGAAGAUUCAAAUUCUUACUCUGCCAUUUACUAGCUCUGUGGCCUCAGAUGAAUGUCUGGGACUCUAUUUCUUCAUCCAUAAAAUGGAAGUGAUAACAGCACCUACCUCACAGAAUUAUAUCAAGAUUAAAUGAGGUAGUAGAUGUAAAGCUCUUAGAAUAACACCUGAUAUAAAAUAAAUACUCUAAAUUGUAUUAUCUGCAGAAAGCUGUUUUGUUUCCUCCUCUACUCCUCUUUCUUUGAGUUACUAUCCUUUUAAAAAUAUUUUUCACAGGGCACCUGAGUGGCUCAGUGGGUUGAGCCUCUGCCUUCGGCUCAGGUCAUGAUCUCAGGGUCCUGGAAUCGAGCCCUGCAUCAAGCUCUCUGCUCACCGGUGAGCCUCCUUCCACCUCUCUCUCUCUCUGCCUGACUCUCUGCCUCCUUGUAAGCUCUGU